GGGCGGAAGCCUGAACCAGCCAUGCCGCGUGCAGGAAGACGGCCCUACGGGUUGUAAACUGCUUUUGCAGGGGAAUAAACCCCCGUACGUGUACGGGGCUGAAUGUACUCUGAGAAUAAGGAUCGGCUAACUCCGUGCCAGCAGCCGCGGUAAUACGGAGGAUCCAAGCGUUAUCCGGAUUUAUUGGGUUUAAAGGGUGCGUAGGCGGCCUAUUAAGUCAGGGGUGAAAGACGGUAGCUUAACUAUCGCAGUGCCUUUGAUACUGAUGGGCUUGAAUGAACUAGAGGUAGGCGGAAUGUGACAAGUAGCGGUGAAAUGCAUAGAUAUGUCACAGAACACCAAUUGCGAAGGCAGCUUACUAUGGUUUUAUUGACGCUGAGGCACGAAAGCGUGGGGAUCAAACAGGAUUAGAUACCCUGGUAGUCCACGCCCUAAACGAUGAACACUCGAUGUUAGCGAUAUACAGUUAGCGUCU
rnacentral:rRNA from 1 species